UGCGAUAAGCGCCGGUAAGGUGAUAUGAACCGUUAUAACCGGCGAUUUCCGAAUGGGGAAACCCAGUGUGAUUCGUCACACUAUCAUUAACUGAAUCCAUAGGUUAAUGAGGCGAACCGGGGGAACUGAAACAUCUAAGUACCCCGAGGAAAAGAAAUCAACCGAGAUUCCCCCAGUAGCGGCGAGCGAACGGGGAGGAGCCCAGAGCCUGAAUCAGCAUGUGUGUUAGUGGAAGCGUCUGGAAAGGCGCGCGAUACAGGGUGACAGCCCCGUACACAAAAGCGCAUGUGCUGUGAGCUCGAUGAGUAGGGCGGGACACGUGGUAUCCUGUCUGAAUAUGGGGGGACCAUCCUCCAAGGCUAAAUACUCCUGACUGACCGAUAGUGAACCAGUACCGUGAGGGAAAGGCGAAAAGAACCCCGGCGAGGGGAGUGAAAAAGAACCUGAAACCGUGUACGUACAA
rnacentral:rRNA from 1 species